GUUUUUCCAGCAAAAAAUGCGGGAAGUUGUAACAGAGCAAGACAUCACUAGCAAAUUGGAAAAGGCCUCAGGAAAAUUUCAACAGGAACUCACCCAUGUACUAUUCAGGACUAUUGAAUAAUUUUUUUCACGAGGCCCACUGGAGUCUUUUAUCUUGGUCUGCCGACUUCUAUUGAGUCUGCUCAGCAGGAAGCAAUCGUUGGGCUCCAGUGCUGUCAAGCCAGCUCUGUGCAGAAUGCUGCCUCCACAGCUGACAUCUGCUGUGUCACUCUGAAACUUCUCCUCGAGAAACUGGGCAAAUGAUACUUGAUAGGACGUGAAGAAAAAUACAAGCUAAAUAAAUAUUGUAGGAAGCCAGAAAUGCUAGCAACAAGACAGAUAAGUGUCUGUUUUGGGCCCAAAGUGGAAAACUCUGAGGA